UGCAGAGCAUGUUCUCUAUGUUCUCUUCACAUGGUUCAGUAGUGUUGACAGCUUCUGUGAGUCUGCAUGGUGUGAUUCGCAUGAGGCUGAUAGACCAGAGAACAAGCUGAAAAAGGCACUCACCUACAUCCUUCACACGUGGCUUAACAUGUACUGGGAGGAUUUCUAUGAACCUAGUGAGUUUCCCUGCCUCAAAUUGAUGGUAGCGUACUUGAACCUCCAUAUGCCUGGUUCAGAGGAGAUGCACCUGGCCCAACAUCUCUUGUUUCAGUGGGAGUUUCUGGAGCCCAGUGAAACAGCCUA